rnacentral:rRNA from 1 species
GGCGCACCAAGCCGAUGACGGGUACCUGGUCUGAGAGGACGAUCAGGCAGACUGGGACUGAGACACGGCCCAGACUCCUACGGGAGGCAGCAGCAAGGAAUUUUCCGCAAUGGGCGCAAGCCUGACGGAGCAACGCCGCGUGCCGGAAGACGGCCUUCGGGUUGUAAACGGCUUUUGUUGGGGAAGAAACGGACGGUACCCAACGAAUAAGCCCCGGCUAACUCCGUGCCAGCAGCCGCGGUAAGACGGAGGGGGCAAGCGUUGUCCGGACUCACUGGGCGUAAAGCGUGCGUAGGCGGUACGGAGCGUCGCUACUGAAAGCAUCCGGCUCAACCGGGUGAGGUGUAGCGAUACGUCCGAACUGGAGGCAAGGAGAGGUGUGCAGAAUUCCGGGUGUAGUGGUGAAAUGCGUAGAUAUCCGGAGGAAUGUCGGUGGCGAAGGCGGCACACUGGUCUUGACCUGACGCUGAGGCACGAAGGCGUGGGGAGCAAACCGGAUUAGAUACCCGGGUAGUCCACGCAGUAAACGAUGUCGGCUCGGUGUAUCGUGGUGGCAACACCAUGGUGUGCCCAAGCUCACGCGGUAAGCCGACCGCCUGGGGACUACGAGCGCAAGCUUAAAACUCAAAGGAAUUGACGGGGGCCCGCACAAGCAGCGGAGCGUGUGGUUUAAUUCGACGCAACGCGAAGAACCUUACCCAGGUUUGACAUGCAGCUGCAAGCGCACGGAAACGUGUGACCUUCGAGGGUGCUGCACAGGUGCUGCAUGGCCGUCGUCAGCUCGUGUCGUGAGAUGUUGGGUUAAGUCCCGCAACGAGCGCAACCCUCGCCGUCAGUUACAAGUGUCUGGCGGGACAGCCCUCGCUAUAGGGGAGGAAGGCGGGGAUGACGUCAAGUCAGCAUGGCCCUUACGCCUGGGGCGACACACACGCUACAAUGCCGACCACAAUGCGCUGCAACCACGCAAGUGCAAGCUAAUCGCCAAAGGUCGGCUCAGUGCAGAUCGGGGGCUGCAACUCGCCCCCGUGAAGGCGGAGUUGCUAGUAACCGCGUAUCAGCCAUGGCGCGGUGAAUACGUACCCGGGCCUUGUACACACCGCCCGUCACGUCAUGGGAGUUGGUAAUGC